UGGCGCAAGAACCCGGUCGAGUCAGAUCUGCUUUCUUUCCGCACCCCGGGCUGUUUCUCUGGAACUUUUUUUGGCAACAGGUUCUUCCGCAUACCUCCUGACACCCUCCUUUUGGACCCAGCGUAAAAAGUCUCAGCGUGCACUCCCUUUAGAGAAAUUCAGGUUUGUAAAGCUUCGUUUGGAUGGAAAUAUACAGGAGGAUACCUAGGCUGCCAGUUCCUUGGUUAAGAAACCAAACAUGCACAGUACCUCGCAUGCCCAAGUGCCAGGAGUGGAAAGAAGACUAAAACAAGAUGCCUGUUCCUGAUAGAGGAGGUAAAAACACCAAAAACGCAGCCCAUGGACGACAACACAAUGUAAUACAUUAUGUUUUAAUACUCUCCUACGAGUACAUUUAAUGUGCCGAGGGAAGACACAUGAGUGAACAACUAAUUAUACUAGGGAAAGCAUCUGUGAAGACUCCAGAGAAGAGACAGUGAUUAUCUUUAAUGUUAAAAAACAAUCUUUCCAGAAAGACAUAUGUGGCAAAGUGGGUUGGGCAGAGGAAUGGAAUAAACAAGGUUAAAGCAAA